rnacentral:rRNA from 1 species
GCUUAACACAUGCAAGUCGAGGGGCAGCAUCAUCAAAGCUUGCUUUGAUGGAUGGCGACCGGCGCACGGGUGAGUAACACGUAUCCAACCUGCCGACAACACUGGGAUAGCCUUUCGAAAGAAAGAUUAAUACCGGAUGGCAUAAUUUUCCCGCAUGGGAUAAUUAUUAAAGAAUUUCGGUUGUCGAUGGGGAUGCGUUCCAUUAGGCAGUUGGCGGGGUAACGGCCCACCAAACCAACGAUGGAUAGGGGUUCUGAGAGGAAGGUCCCCCACAUUGGAACUGAGACACGGUCCAAACUCCUACGGGAGGCAGCAGUGAGGAAUAUUGGUCAAUGGACGAGAGUCUGAACCAGCCAAGUAGCGUGAAGGAUGACUGCCCUAUGGGUUGUAAACUUCUUUUAUACGGGAAUAAAGUUAGCCACGUGUGGCUUUUUGUAUGUACCGUAUGAAUAAGGAUCGGCUAACUCCGUGCCAGCAGCCGCGGUAAUACGGAGGAUCCGAGCGUUAUCCGGAUUUAUUGGGUUUAAAGGGAGCGUAGGCGGGUUGUUAAGUCAGUUGUGAGAGUUUGCGGCUCAACCGUAAAAUUGCAGUUGAUACUGGCGACCUUGAGUGCAACAGAGGUAGGCGGAAUUCGUGGUGUAGCGGUGAAAUGCUUAGAUAUCACGAAGAACUCCGAUUGCGAAGGCAGCUUACUGGAUUGUAACUGACGCUGAUGCUCGAAAGUGUGGGUAUCAAACAGGAUUAGAUACCCUGGUAGUCCACACAGUAAACGAUGAAUACUCGCUGUUGGCGAUAUACGGUCAGCGGCCAAGCGAAAGCAUUAAGUAUUCCACCUGGGGAGUACGCCGGCAACGGUGAAACUCAAAGGAAUUGACGGGGGCCCGCACAAGCGGAGGAACAUGUGGUUUAAUUCGAUGAUACGCGAGGAACCUUACCCGGGCUUAAAUUGCAACUGACGGAACCGGAAACGGUUCUUUCUUCGGACAGUUGUGAAGGUGCUGCAUGGUUGUCGUCAGCUCGUGCCGUGAGGUGUCGGCUUAAGUGCCAUAACGAGCGCAACCCUUACGGGUAGUUACCAUCAGGUUAUGCUGGGGACUCUACCCGGACUGCCGUUGUAAGAUGUGAGGAAGGUGGGGAUGACGUCAAAUCAGCACGGCCCUUACGUCCGGGGCUACACACGUGUUACAAUGGGGGGUACAGAAGGUAGCUACACGGCGACGUGGUGCUAAUCCCAAAAGCCUCUCUCAGUUCGGAUUGGAGUCUGCAACCCGACUCCAUGAAGCUGGAUUCGCUAGUAAUCGCGCAUCAGCCACGGCGCGGUGAAUACGUUCCCGGGCCUUGUACACACCGCCCGUCAAGCCAUGAAAGCCGGGGGUACCUGAAGUACGUAACCGCGAGGAGCGUCCUAGGGUAAAACUGGUGAUUGGGGCUAAG